rnacentral:tRNA from 1 species
GGGGAGAUACUCAAGCGGCCAACGAGGACAGACUGUAAAUCUGUUGGUUUUCACCUUCGGAGGUUCGAAUCCUCCUCUCCCCA